rnacentral:rRNA from 1 species
UCGAGCGGAGAUGAGGUGCUUGCACCUUAUCUUAGCGGCGGACGGGUGAGUAAUGCUUAGGAAUCUGCCUAUUAGUGGGGGACAACAUUCCGAAAGGAAUGCUAAUACCGCAUACGCCCUACGGGGGAAAGCAGGGGAUCUUCGGACCUUGCGCUAAUAGAUGAGCCUAAGUCGGAUUAGCUAGUUGGUGGGGUAAAGGCCUACCAAGGCGACGAUCUGUAGCGGGUCUGAGAGGAUGAUCCGCCACACUGGGACUGAGACACGGCCCAGACUCCUACGGGAGGCAGCAGUGGGGAAUAUUGGACAAUGGGCGGAAGCCUGAUCCAGCCAUGCCGCGUGUGUGAAGAAGGCCUUUUGGUUGUAAAGCACUUUAAGCGAGGAGGAGGCUACUUAGAUUAAUACUCUAGGAUAGUGGACGUUACUCGCAGAAUAAGCACCGGCUAACUCUGUGCCAGCAGCCGCGGUAAUACAGAGGGUGCGAGCGUUAAUCGGAUUUACUGGGCGUAAAGCGUGCGUAGGCGGCUGAUUAAGUCGGAUGUGAAAUCCCUGAGCUUAACUUAGGAAUUGCAUUCGAUACUGGUCAGCUAGAGUAUGGGAGAGGAUGGUAGAAUUCCAGGUGUAGCGGUGAAAUGCGUAGAGAUCUGGAGGAAUACCGAUGGCGAAGGCAGCCAUCUGGCCUAAUACUGACGCUGAGGUACGAAAGCAUGGGGAGCAAACAGGAUUAGAUACCCUGGUAGUCCAUGCCGUAACGAUGUCUACUAGCCGUUGG